CUUUUCAACAUCCCGCCAAGGAGAUAUGUUCCUGUAACGAUGUCGCUAUUAAUGAUUAAUUAUCAUCCGGGUUACAUGUAACACUGCAUUUUUUAUAAACUGCAUUAGGCGUUUUAGGUUUACCGUUAGGGGAUAAUGGAGUAAUGGCCCAAACUAAGAAAUUACGGAUGCUCCUUGUCUCUUCUGUACAAAGGGCAGAGGAAUAGUCACACAGGACCAUCCGGAGUUUCUUAAGUUCCUCCGCAUAAGGCACCUAAGAUCAAUUCGGACUUGGGCCAUUAAGAAAGUUCCUCAUCCAUUCUUCGCCUCCUACUUUUUGACCACUAUUUAUUUACUUACACCUUGACCUCGUGACAUUAACUUGAAAAUAUACAAAUUCCUUUCCUUUUCACUGAUUCUAAGUCGUAGUAUCGACCAGUCGGUUUGAAAAGCGCGUUUCCACAAUGCCUUGCUAAUUGUUGAGUGCUGGAUGUAAUAUGGCAACGCAUAUGCAUAGACAUUGUCUGCUAAGGAUUCGAAAGGAAGAUCGUUAAGAAAAACUGAAAUUCUAAGUAUAUCUGUUGAAUAUUUUUUCAAUUACCAUCACUAACCAAUAGUAUAACUGCAAAGGCAAAGUAUCAUUUUCUUUAAACUUUAAUAGUAGGAGGAAAAAGAUCUGAUUAUGAAUAUUUCGAUGCAUCUUGUGACGCCAUUUUUCGUAGUACCGACGUCGAUAUCGGGGCUGGCUGCUGUUAGAAAGGAAAGAGCCGAGAAAUGGAUUGCUGAAGGAGUCGUUCGAGUGGUUCGCGGCAUUCUACUAUUCCCACUGGUGUUGCAGGCCCAAUGACCUGAUUGUAGAAGUAAAAAGAAGCUGCUCUCGAUGGUUCGUUACCACGAGUUUCGACAGGGGGGGAUGUCUGCGGUAUUUUCAGAAGCGUCAAGUACCCCUAUCGCCUCACUUUUAGUACAAUUCAUUUUCUCUACUUGUCCAACAGGGAUUUAUCUGUAUUGGUUGCUCGUUAUUUCGAACGAGCAAUUUCAGUUUCAAGAGAAGUUUUUUUUUUUUCUUCAGUCGGCUGUUAAUCCUUCUUCUUCGAGAACCGAACGAUCUAUAUGUCAACGUCUCUUCUUUGAUGAUAACGAGUAAUUUGUUAAUAACAGAGAUUCUAGGGAUUUGAUUCUUUUUUUGUGCUUUCCAUUUCUUUUCUUUCGCGCUGUGUUAAGGUCCCUCGAUAACAAAAAGAGAUUACUGGGACAAGACCAGCGUAUUAUCGAAUUUAAUGAUCUAUAUUUGACUCACUCGAAGAAGAGCGCGGGAAGGAACGUUUAAAAAAUCGAACUCGUCUCAAGUGGUCAGAGUGUUGUCAGCUUCUCUUCGAUUACCAGCUACGAAGCAUUUACGUCAAAGACUGUAUGACGUCACUGAACGAGACCUGGAAUAUCCAGAUUUUUGUCGUUUCGAACCCCCCAGAUAUUUUGUAGAAACCCAUACAGAAAUAAAACGAAAUCCAAGUCGUGCAGAUAUUUCAGACACAUUAACAUGUGAGGUCGCAUAAAAUUAAUCUUUUCUAGUGGAAAUAUGAAUAUUGACCAUCAAUUAAAAAGACCCGAAGGUACUUCAUUUGUUAAUUAAAACGCAGUUGAUACUUCAGUUGAGCAUAAUUAAAAGAAAGAAGUACGAUCGUGAAAACAGAAUGACUUGCAUAGAGGAUCAAUACGCCAAAUUGGUAACACGAUGUACUUAACUCGUUAAGUAGCAAACUAUUUAUAGACGAAAACACGUUUGAUAUGUCUGAAAAAUCUUGGCAAUCUGGGCACAGAUGAAUUACAAUUUCAUUUGAAACCCGUCACGAAUAAUAUGUACUUCUAAAAUCGUUUGACGAAUUGGUCAGAUUGACCGAUACACUCCUGGCAGAGUGAGAAACUAAAUUAGGAAAACGAUGAUCCUGCGGGUAAAAGCAGGGUAGAAGACGACGAUACACGUGUCGCGAUGAUGUUUUUGCGAACGUCAGCUGAGGUACUCUUGGUCGAGGCAUGUUGAGAAGUACGGCCGGGUGGAGGGACACGGUUCAGGCUUAGCUUACCGUGGAGAAGCGUUUCGAGGUAGUUGGAGACGAUGCACGAUAAGCACGCCCGUUCCUCUUUCUUCUGACCUCACGCCGUUUCUAUCCCUGGUGCAGCCUAACCGAGCCAAAAAGCCCUCCCUCUCCAAGCGACCGCCUGCCUAUUAUUUUCGACCGAUUGCCAAUUGUCGUGCAACUGCCGACGUAGCUGCUCCCGUUGGGUGAUUCCGGUUUGCCGCAUCCAGGAAACAGGAAUCCUGGAACAUCUUCGGGAUUGUUUCAUUCGAUCCUGCAAUUUUACUGGGGCUUCAUGCGAGAAAACUGAGAAGCAAAACUGGACAUGUCCUCAUUUUCAAGGAGUCUUCCAUUUGUGCCCUGAAAACGAGCGCCAUCUGCUCAUCCUAGUAUAAAGGGUUGCAGAGAUGUAAGGGAUGCAGGGAUGCAAGGAACGCAAGAAUGUAAGGUAUAGAGGGAUGUAGGAGAUACAGGGCCAUAAGGGAUGUAGAGCUGCAACAUUUAAUUAUGAAGGUAGAUUUAGGAAAAUAAUAGGGAGACAAGGAAAUAGAGUGAAUAAGAUAGCCCACAGUUGUUUGACAGAUAUUUGUUUGUAAAAUGUUAAAAAAUGGCACUAUUUCAUGUUAGACAAUUCGAUAAUUAUUUAGUUAUCGAAUUAUUAAAUAAUUCGAAAUUAUUUAGCUAGUUCUCUGAAAUGAAAUUUGUAAACGAUAAUCUAUCGAUGAUCAAACGAGAAGUCAAUACUCUACCGAUGUAGGGAUGACGCGUUCGAGAUCAGCCCGUUGCCUCGAGAUUUCGAGGUCGAUCACGUCCUCGUCCCAGAAACCCGGGGAUGAGGAUGCACUCUCCGUUUAUCCCGCGGAAAAUGGCAUACUCGGCUACUUGAAUUAAUUAUUUUGUUGCGUCAAACGUUUCACAUUUUUUUAACACACUGGCUGUAAUUGAAUAAAUGAUAGAAAAUGA